GGGAUAACCUUGCGAAAGUAAGACUAAUACCCAAUGACGUCUCUAGAAGACAUCUGAAAGAGAUUAAAGAUUUAUCGGUGAUGGAUGGGGAUGCGUCUGAUUAGCUUGUUGGCGGGGUAACGGCCCACCAAGGCGACGAUCAGUAGGGGUUCUGAGAGGAAGGUCCCCCACAUUGGAACUGAGACACGGUCCAAACUCCUACGGGAGGCAGCAGUGAGGAAUAUUGGUCAAUGGACGAGAGUCUGAACCAGCCAAGUAGCGUGCAGGAUGACGGCCCUAUGGGUUGUAAACUGCUUUUAUAAGGGAAUAAAGUGAGUCUCGUGAGACUUUUUGCAUGUACCUUAUGAAUAAGGACCGGCUAAUUCCGUGCCAGCAGCCGCGGUAAUACGGAAGGUCCGGGCGUUAUCCGGAUUUAUUGGGUUUAAAGGGAGCGUAGGCCGGAGAUUAAGCGUGUUGUGAAAUGUAGACGCUCAACGUCUGCACUGCAGCGCGAACUGGUUUCCUUGAGUACGCACAAAGUGGGCGGAAUUCGUGGUGUAGCGGUGAAAUGCUUAGAUAUCACGAAGAACUCCGAUUGCGAAGGCAGCUCACUGGAGCGCAACUGACGCUGAAGCUCGAAAGUGCGGGUAUCGAACAGGAUUAGAUACCCUGGUAGUCCGCACGGUAA
rnacentral:rRNA from 1 species